UACGGAGGGUGCAAGCGUUAUCCGGAUUCACUGGGUUUAAAGGGUGCGUAGGUGGGCAGGUAAGUCCGUGGUGAAAUCUCUGAGCUUAACCCAGAAACUGCCGUGGAUACUAUUUGUCUUGAAUGUUGUGGAGGUGAGCGGAAUAUGUCAUGUAGCGGUGAAAUGCUUAGAUAUGACAUAGAACACCAAUUGCGAAGGCAGCUCACUACACAAUUAUUGACGCUGGAGGCACGAAAGCGUGGGGAUCAAACAGG
rnacentral:rRNA from 1 species